rnacentral:tRNA from 2 species
AUGGGCGUGGCUUGAUAGGGAAGCAACGGUCUCCAAAGCCGUGAAAUGCAGGUUCGAAUCCUGCCGCCCGUGC